GAUGAACGCUGGCGGCGUGCCUAAUACAUGCAAGUCGAGCGAACAGACGAGGAGCUUGCUCCUCUGACGUUAGCGGCGGACGGGUGAGUAACACGUGGAUAACCUACCUAUAAGACUGGGAUAACUUCGGGAAACCGGAGCUAAUACCGGAUAAUAUAUUGAACCGCAUGGUUCAAUAGUGAAAGACGGUUUUGCUGUCACUUAUCGAUGGAUCCGCGCCGCAUUAGCUAGUUGGUAAGGUAACGGCUUACCAAGGCAACGAUGCGUAGCCGACCUGAGAGGGUGAUCGGCCACACUGGAACUGAGACACGGUCCAGACUCCUACGGGAGGCAGCAGUAGGGAAUCUUCCGCAAUGGGCGAAAGACUGACGGAGCAACGCCGCGUGAGUGAUGAAGGUCUUCGGAUCGGAAAACUCUGUUAUUAGGGAAGAACAAAUGUGUAAGUAACUAUGCACGUCUUGACGGUACAUAAUCAGAAAGCCACGGCUAACUACGUG
rnacentral:rRNA from 1 species